AGCUUUGCACAGUGGCAGUAUCAUAGCCAAUGAGGUUAAGCUGAGGCGCAAUGAUUGCUAAUUGAAAAAUAAAUAAAUAAACAAAC
ensembl:snRNA U4 U4 spliceosomal RNA